rnacentral:rRNA from 1 species
UACGAAGGGGGCUAGCGUUGCUCGGAAUCACUGGGCGUAAAGGGUGCGUAGGCGGGUCUUUAAGUCAGGGGUGAAAUCCUGGAGCUCAACUCCAGAACUGCCUUUGAUACUGAGAGGCUCGAGACCGGUAGAGGUAAGUGGAACUGCGAGUGUAGAGGUGAAAUUCGUAGAUAUUCGCAGGAACACCAGUGGCGAAGGCGGCUUACUGGACCGGUUCUGACGCUGAGGCGCGAAAGCGUGGGGAGCAAACAGG